GGAGGACAGAUACGAACGCAGACCCAAGCUUUCGCCCGAGCAAGAGACACCGACAGAGUGAAACGAGGCGGCGCCUCGCGAAGGCGGAACCACACGCCGCCACACCAACGCGAGAGACGAAACUGGUGUUUCGGCGAAGGGACGUCUCUCUCUUUCGAGAUGGAUAAAAAUGUUCGAACGGGCUAUCUCCAUUCGCCUUCCUAGCACCUUCUCAGAGCGGUCCGCUCGAGGUCUCCACUUGCGGCUCUGCGCAGCUCUUCCCCCUUCGCGUGUUUACCAGAUUCCGUCGCAGCCCGCUGCCAGCGCUCCGCAUCCCAUUUGAACGGCCUGCCGGGAACAAGACGCAAGUGUUUGGCGACGACCUCCGGCUUCAGUCUGCCAGUGGUUUCCACGAGACAGGCGCCUCGGCUGCGGGCCUCGUGUCGGUCAGGCUGAGCGUCUUCAGCCUUCGCGUCUUCCACUUCCGAGCCAUGGGGAGCACUCUCGGAGAGCCGUCUCUCGAGGAAGGUGAUCUGGAGCGGCGGAUCUGCGACGAGAGGUUCGGCGCAGUCGAAGGUGAGAAGAAAGGCAGGCGCACGUUUCUCCGCCUCGUCCACCUCCGCGCCUGCCUUAGCCGAGAGGCUGGAUUCCUUCGGUCUGUCUCCCGCGUUCCCCACGGACAGGAAAUGGGGACGCGGAACGAGACGCGCAAACAGAUACCCAUUCUCGAUGUACCACGAAUUCACCUGCGCAAGAAAAGCACGGACGAGCGCCGCAUUCUCCUCCGCCGAUAGAGGCACGGAAGAAGAGGAAGGAGUGGAAGAAGAGGAAGAAGGCGUUUGGUGCUUGGAAAGAAGCGCCUUUUCAAUGUGGCGGAUAAGCCGCGAGGGAAGAACGCGUGAGCCGUGGACUCGGAAGCCAGCGAUGGUGUAGUGAGCCGGCAGCGUAGGGAGCUCGAGAGACACGUCCAGAGUCUCUUCCUUCCCGCCUUCCGCCUCCUUCUGAGGCGACAGAGGAUCCGCGCGAUGGUUGGCUGCGGCAAACGCAAGAGGCGCAGAAGCAACAGAACCUCCAGAAGAAGGCAACGAUUGCAGAGGCAACGCGGGUGAGGAAAGAGAGGGAGACGAAGCUGUAGACGGCCUCUGGUUUUCUCCGCCUCCAGGUUUGGAAGAAAGGAGCUGAGCGGCAAGCGGGGAGUGCGGCUGCGGGGCAGUAGGGAAGAACAGAGAAUCGCUGCGGUACGUUUCUGGUGACGGCCUUGCCAAAGGGGAGGGGAUGAUGGAAACUCGAGAGGCUGGAGGACGCGAAGCACCUACAAAGACGAGGCCGUGGACUGGUGACUCAGUGGAGCGGCGAGAGGAAGGGAAAACGAGAGACAAGGAGGAAAAGGAGGCAAGCAGUGCUGGAAACGAAAGGCACGACAAAAGGACCAGUUGACGGCAGAGACAGAAUUUCAGAGAGAAACACCGUUGUCGCCUGGGCGACGACGCUUUCCUCUCUCGUCCACUGGCCAUCUUGCCUUCCUCGAAACCGUGGCACGGGUUCCUCCCUGUCGCUGGCGUCUGUCUCGCCUUCCAGUUCCUCGUCACGUUCACCGGUCGCCGUCUCUUCAGGCGCGUUUGUUUGUGGCCUUUCUUCCGCCACUCUUGGCCUCUUGUCCACUGCUGCUUCGGGGGCGUCGACAGCAGUUCCGCGUGCGUUGGGGAAAACGACGGGGGAUUGAAACAAAUUCAAAGAGAAGGGCCGGGAUGUAUAUACACUCGACCGCGUCGGAGAGAGGCGUGGCACGAUCGGCGGUUCUCCCCAUGAAUGUGUUUCAUGUGCCCGACAGAAACGCUCGCGCUGCGUGUAGAUUUUUCUUUUCGCGAGGCCGUUUUCCCAUUUGCCCGGAGAGAAAGGCUCUCUUGGUCCCCGCCGUCUCCCGUUUCUGUGGAGCGUUCAGCCGAAAUCGAACCGAUCUGCGCCGGCAUGGACGAUGUGUAGCAUCGGUGAUCUGGACGGACUCCCGUCUCCCGGCGAAAAAGGCGAGAAACUUGCCUCCUCUCCAGUCGCUUUGGCGUCCUUCACCGCAGAAUACAAGACUGAGAGAAGGCAAACUCUUGUUCUUCGCUUUUCACAUUUCUUCUCUCCGUAUGAUUCUCUCUCUCAGCCCUGCAAUUGGUUGUCUUGUCCGGGACGCGCGACACGCCGUCGGCCACACACAUGCGCGGGGCAGAUGAGGGGGGCGCGGAGAGCGAAGGAAAACGGAAUCGGAAAAGAAAGAGAGCACGGAACGACAGAAAGGAGAGACGUAAAAGAGACGGAGAAAAUAUGCGUCCGGGGCUUAGUAAAAGAGAGUGGAACGCGCCCUGUUCUCUGGGAAAGACUGCUUCCCUCGUCGCGUUCACACCAUGCGCUGCCCGAAGAACUGCUUUCCUUGAGCUGAUGUACACACCAGAGAAAAACAGAGGUAGCCUACGUCAGCUUCUGACUGGAGGUUUCCAUUUUCCGGUUUUUCUCACAUUUGUCUUCACUCAAAAGGUUCAGCGCAGAGAGUGGAGCCAUGCCUUCUGUCCCAGAGCUAACCCUCUGCCCGGAGAAAGCAACCGUUCGAGACAAUGUCUCUCUCAACACUGGGCUGUCUCCUGUUUGGGCCCUGCCGGCUCGAAACAAGGCUGUGACGAGAUUCAAAGCCAGAGAACGGCAGUCUAAAGCGGGGGUACCGUCGCCGCAACAGACAGACAGACAGUCUUCAUCUUGCCCAGCUCUGUUUCGCUGAGCGGAUUCUGUUGAGCGUUUCUCCAACGCUAGGCCUUCUGGAAUGGAGCACUGGGCGGCACGAGACACCGG
rnacentral:lncRNA from 1 species